ensembl:lncRNA novel transcript, antisense to PLXNC1
AUUAUCGAAUUGACUCCUGUACACAGCUCUACAAAUACAGACAGGGAUGCUACAUAAAUGAAUGGAUCUAAAAGAUUAUGGCAAGACUGCUCACUGAGUGUGCAACAAACAAAUCCCGUUCGUGAUCAGUGAAUUAUUCAUGAGCAUUUUUCUGGCCCUUGCUUCGUUUGUCUGCCAGUGACUCUGACGGAAACAGCCCGCGAAGGCUCUCUCCUCCUUUGCUUCUCCAGCAAGAGCCCCAGUACUGGGUUGCCAUGGCGACGGCGAAUCCAACCAGGCCGGGCCCAGCGACGCUAGGAAACUGCCAUGGCGGGGAAGCCGCUCCGAGUCGCCCCUGAGCCUAGAUGGGUCGUGAGCAUCGUCAUUCCAGACCAGGCUGGGCAGAUUCUGCCCGGAGACUGAGAUUGUACAUCAGGCCCACAGCUGCGCGGCGCAUUAGGAGACGGCGCCAUCAAUAACGAGGCUUCUGCGGAGCGAACAGAAUACAUGACAUACAUGAUGGGGAUUCAGCUGAAAAAUUUUCAGACAUCUCUAUUCUUUUAUCUUCUCGGAGGGGGGGCCCUUUUGCCUCUCUCUUGAGUCUUGGCGAACUCUGGAGAAAGUAAAAGCCAAACCUGCCUGCUCUCUCCCGUUCUCCUGAAGGCUGCACACCUGCCCCUCCCGCCCCGAGACUGGGGAGCUCCCGGGUCCAGUGAUUGCAUAGCACGGACGCCGCUGGAAACACCUUCGAGAAUUCAUUAGGAUUGCACAACAAGAUUUUAGUCGAGGAAGAGAUCAGUUCCCUCAGGUCACUGGAAUGGAUCGUUAAAGUAGGGCAACAAGUGUUCUGCCGCAUGACACUUUUUCAAAAAUGCGAGUUGGUGAGAAAGAAUUCAGGAGAUACCUUUGUAGCGAAUGGCACCAACCGCAGUGAGGGUCUGUGGCUGUUAAACACUCCGAACAGGAUUUAUGUUUAUUGCAGUUUGCAACACGAAUUCUCCUCACCUAAAAGGAAAGAGGACAAUGGUUCAGAUGGAAUUAUAAGCAACAGCAGGAAAACUACAACACCUUAUCUAAUGAAGGGCCAAAAAGAGCCUAUUUAUCAACUUGAACUCAACACCUCCAUACUGGCACUGGGCAGUGGGUCUCAAGAUCUAGGACAUGAAGUCAUUGUAUCACAAUCACCUGGGGAGCUUUUGACAGUGCGUAUUCCCAGGCCUCUGCCGCAGAGACUCUCGCUAAGUCUGGGGGCAGAGCCUAGGAAGUUGUAUUUUUUCAUUUAAAAGAUUUUUUUCUUAAAGACACAGGGUCUCACUACGUUGCCCAGGCUGGUUUUGAACUUCUGGGCUCAAAGCACUCCUCCCAAAAGUGCUGAGGUUGCAGGCGUGCACCACUGUGUCUGGCCAGGAAUCUGUAUUUUAAGAGCUCUCUCUCAGGUGAGUCUGACACCCAGUUGGGUUUCCGAUCUGCUAAUGAUGAUUUCCAUACGGAUCAUGGAAUCAGGUUGCCUGGUUUUCAUACAGAGACAGUCCAUAUGUGGCCAAUGGCAUUUUGGAAAUGAGUAUUAGGGAAUAACAAAGGCUCUGCCCCAGGAGUGUCAGCAGGAGUUUGGCACUCAAUGUGGAAACGAGGAGGACCAGGGACGAGGCCCUCCCACACCCCUGCCAGGGGCAGCGCCGUCACCUCAGCUCCUGGCUUGUUUUGCUCACACCCCUCCAGUGGAGUUGAAAAUAAAAGAAACAGGGGGAGUAGUCAAAUCAUUUCCCCAUCCCUAGAGCUGCCUCUUGCCAUUGUCAGGAAACAGCAGCCCACAAAGAGGGCACCCCAGCUGGGCAGACCCAGACAUCUAGGCAGCCAGUCAGAGCCUGCAAGUAGGGCGGUGAGAGGCAGGGAGUAACUGAGCAUCACACAGAGCACUUUCUGCAGGCAAAACCACACAGCAGGUAGUAAGGGAACUUGUGGAACUCAUUAUGCCAGGAAGUUGUACAUGCUAGAUAGUAUAAAUAACUUCUUUAGCAGGUUAGAGAAAUAAGGAGUUCUAGAAGGGACCUCUCUAUUUUUCUCUAUUUUGUGAGGAAAACAAGGACUAUCCUGAGCUGGAUCCUUCAGUUCCAAGUUGACUUCAUGGAGGAUAACCACGCCCUUCCAUUUCAUAGUCCCCAACACUGCUGACAGAUGCAGCUGGCAGCCCGUGAUCCUGAGCCGGAAUUAACCAGAAUAGAGGUAUUUCCUUGUAGUUCACAAAUGCCUCUGUAACACUGAUGGAUUUUAAUAAGUGUCAU